AUUGAACGCUGGCGGCAUGCCUUACACAUGCAAGUCGAACGGUAACGGGUCCUUCGGGAUGCCGACGAGUGGCGAACGGGUGAGUAAUAUAUCGGAACGUGCCCAGUAGUGGGGGAUAACUGCUCGAAAGAGCAGCUAAUACCGCAUACGACCUGAGGGUGAAAGGGGGGGAUCGCAAGACCUCUCGCUAUUGGAGCGGCCGAUAUCAGAUUAGCUAGUUGGUGGGGUAAAGGCCUACCAAGGCAACGAUCUGUAGUUGGUCUGAGAGGACGACCAGCCACACUGGGACUGAGACACGGCCCAGACUCCUACGGGAGGCAGCAGUGGGGAAUUUUGGACAAUGGGCGCAAGCCUGAUCCAGCAAUGCCGCGUGCAGGAAGAAGGCCUUCGGGUUGUAAACUGCUUUUGUCAGGGAAGAAAUCUUCUGGGCUAAUACCCCGGGAGGAUGACGGUACCUGAAGAAUAAGCACCGGCUAACUACGUGCCAGCAGCCGCGGUAAUACGUAGGGUGCGAGCGUUAAUCGGAAUUACUGGGCGUAAAGCGUGCGCAGGCGGCUUUGCAAGACAGAUGUGAAAUCCCCGGGCUCAACCUGGGAACUGCAUUUGUGACUGCAAGGCUAGAGUACGGCAGAGGGGGAUGGAAUUCCGCGUGUAGCAGUGAAAUGCGUAGAUAUGCGGAGGAACACCAAUGGCGAAGGCAAUCCCCUGGGCCUGUACUGACGCUCAUGCACGAAAGCGUGGGGAGCAAACAGGAUUAGAUGCCCUGGUAGUCCACGCCCUAAACGAUGUCAACUGGUUGUUGGACGGCUUGCUGUUCAGUAACGAAGCUAACGCGUGAAGUUGACCGCCUGGGGAGUACGGCCGCAGGGUUGAAACUCAAAGGAAUUGACGGGGACCCGCACAAGCGGUGGAUGAUGUGGUUUAAUUCGAUGCAACGCGAAAAACCUUACCUACCCUUGACAUGUCAAGAAUUCUGCAGAGAUGUGGAAGUGCUCGAAAGAGAACUUGAACACAGGUGCUGCAUGGCCGUCGUCAGCUCGUGUCGUGAGAUGUUGGGUUAAGUCCCGCAACGAGCGCAACCCUUGUCAUUAGUUGCUACGCAAGAGCACUCUAAUGAGACUGCCGGUGACAAACCGGAGGAAGGUGGGGAUGACGUCAGGUCCUCAUGGCCCUUAUGGGUAGGGCUACACACGUCAUACAAUGGCCGGUACAGAGGGCUGCCAACCCGCGAGGGGGAGCCAAUCCCAGAAAACCGGUCGUAGUCCGGAUCGUAGUCUGCAACUCGACUGCGUGAAGUCGGAAUCGCUAGUAAUCGCGGAUCAGCUUGCCGCGGUGAAUACGUUCCCGGGUCU
rnacentral:rRNA from 1 species